GAUUGAUUGUUAGCUACUUUUUAUUUUGUAGACAGAAGAUCUGCAUAUCCUGAAGAUUAGGCCAUAGAAGCAGACAAGCUCUAAACCUCGUCCUUCUCUCUAAGAAGGGUUUGUGUUUUUCAGGCUGAAGCCAAGUUGACUUAACCCAGAACCAUCUGCUUACUGUAGGAAGGCGUCUUCUUCACCACCGCUGUCCUCUGUCAACUCGUUCUGAGACUCAGCAGCAACAUCUGUGUUUUGCUUUGCAUUCUUUAUCCCUGCUCCUCUGCAAGAUGGGAAUAAUUAUUUUCCUCCAAGGAAACAGGUUCAAAAGAGAUUUGAAGAAAGCGCUGCUUAUGGGCUAAAGAAGAUGGAAUGUCAAGUGGAAAAAAAAUAUACACUUCCGACGUAUUCUUCUGUUUGAAUUUAACAGAAGAGUAAAGACAGUGGAGAUGGCUCGAAACAUUUUUGCCGUGUACGGAGAGAAUGCCAUCAGGUAAAGCAUGGAAGAAAAUGGUAUUGUCAUUUCAAAGAGGGCCACUUUGACCUGUGUGAUUCUCCACGUUUAGGAAGACCAUCAGACUUUGAUGAAGACCGUUUAAAUGCUUUAAUCCACAAUGAUCUGUGUCAUUCAACCUAAGAAUGGGCAAAUGUGAUAAACUGUGACCAGUGAACCAUCAUGCGACAUUUAUAUUCCAUGGGCAAAUGAAAAAACCGCUGUGAACGUAUGCAUUAACCCAAUAUUUACCACUUCUGUCCAUGCCUCUUUUUUAAAUGGUGCAUUGUAUAAUUAUUUCAUUAUAUAUUACAAUGUAAUACUAACAAAGUUAUAAUAAAAGUGAUGCACUUGAA